rnacentral:snoRNA from 1 species
AGUUAUCACAGAAAAAACAAUUAUGGCUGAAUUUAGAAACCAAGCAAAUUGAAUGGGAAGAUACAAAAAUACAAAAGUAUCCUGAAA